AUGUAAAUAAAACAGAUUCAACCACAUCUCAGAAAGUUACGACUGUCAGUGUGACUGCAGAAGUUCAGGAAACAGAUUCGACCACAUCUCAGAGAGUAACGUCUGUCAGUGUGACUGCAGGUCAAACAUUCUGGACAACAAUGGAAACAGAAAGUCCAUUUUCUCCUCCCCCAGCAUCAGUGAAUCCUACAUUAUUUGCUACAACAAGUCCAAGUGGAAGUACAGCAGGUACCACUUUAGGCUCAGUUUCUACUUUGUCACCAUCAGAGGAACCAGGUCAG